rnacentral:tRNA from 1 species
GGGGAUUUAGCUCAGUGGUAGAGCGCUUGCCUUGCAAGCACAAGGCCCUGGGUUCAAUCCUCAGCUCUG